AGUAACGCGUGAGGAACCUGCCUCAAAGAGGGGGACAACAGCUGGAAACGGCUGCUAAUACCGCAUAAGCCCACGGCUCGGCAUCGAGCAGAGGGAAAAGGAGCAAUCCGCUUUGAGAUGGCCUCGCGUCCGAUUAGCUAGUUGGUGAGGUAAUGGCCCACCAAGGCAACGAUCGGUAGCCGGACUGAGAGGUUGAACGGCCACAUUGGGACUGAGACACGGCCCAG
rnacentral:rRNA from 1 species